GUCUUUUGCCCCGGGCUCAAUGGCUGGAUUGUGGAAACUGCACCCGCCUUCAGGUUGUUGAGCAACUGAUGGGACGAUCUCAGGGACCGGCGUUUACGAAAGAAAUGUUUAAUUUGGUAAAUUGGAGGAAAAAAACAUGGAUUUUUAGCAAUUGAAGAGCAAAUUAAGCCACAGUGGAAACAGCAAUCCUUCAAUGGCCACCCCUUGCUCUUUCACAAACUAGUGUGUGGGCCUGGAAUGUAUAACCUCACCUUCCCUGUCACAACAACUCCUCCGUGAAUUUCACAGCUUCUCUGAAGGUUUCAGCGCCUCCAGCAGAAGUGAACUGCUCCCACCUUUCUUUCUUCAGCAGUCUGUCAGGAACUCUCAAAAUGUGCACAAUAGUAUCUGCAGUACUUCAUCUUUCUCACUAGUUUUUAAUAUGUCCACAGCAAACAUAUCUAAGUUUGUUUGGAUUAAUUUUUGUAAAAAGGAUGAUUGCCUGAGCAUGUUUUGUAUAUUGAUUUAUUUCACCAACAUUAAGUACC
rnacentral:lncRNA from 1 species